GAGAAUUAAUGCCUGUAUACCAUGAUCCUUAACCAGAAGUCAUUUUGUGCUCUUUCAACUGCUUUCUGCAAAUUCGUAUUCCACAGCGUAGGAGAGAUGGUGGUGGACACAGUGGGUAGGAGAGUCUGUCCAUAUCCCAAAGGUGUGCCAAAAGGAUUUAUCAAGAAGGGGAUGAUGGAGGUUGCUCUUCCAAAAGUGUCCAGAGUCACUGAGACCUGACCUGUGUAUUUUGUAUUCCAUCCCUGUCAGAAUCCAUCACAAAUUAUUCAAGCAUUCUGGAAAGAAAAGUCGAGAAAUACUACAGUAAAGGAAACAAAAUUGGAGGCUGAAAAAUAUACAUACAUUAAA
rnacentral:lncRNA from 1 species